AUUGAGCCUCGGGAUGGAAUAACUGUGAGAUGUGUUUGUUGCAUUCACAUAUACAGGUUCUGUUGAUGUGAUGGAAUACGUUUACUGAUUUGUGUAUGUUGAACCAGCCUUGCAUCCCAGGGAUGAAGCCAACUCGAUCAUGGUUUUGGUAUCAGGAUGAUGCUGGCCUCAUAAAAUGAGUCAGGGAAGAGUCCCUCUUUUUCUGAUUGUUUGGAAUAGUUUCAGAAGGAAUGGUACCAGCUCCUCUUUGUACCUCUGGUGCAAUUCUUGCAGCCCUAUUUUACAGCUCACAGAAAUUAAUUAAUUGAACAGUGCUUCUGAUCUGGAAAGUGAUGGACUCAGGCUUAUAGCAUAGGCAGCCUGACUCCACAGCUCAACUAUUAAACACUACUCUCAUCACCCCACAGGGCCUGAAUUUUCUGCUCCUGAAUUCAAACAUUAAAAUGUGUGGUAUAUCAGUACUGGGAUUUAUGAGGACAAUGUGGUUAAUUUAAAUGCCUUUUGGAGCAAAUAGGACGUAUCUUAUUCCAAUUUUUUGAAGAUAGAGAAAGUGCGUGGUCCUGAACACAACAGAGGUGGUUACAAGAAGAAAUAAAAUGUUGGCUGGCAGAAGCAGCAGGGAAGAUUUCAUAUUGAAGACUAACUAGUUCUGAGACGUUUUGGAUGUCUUCUUGCAAACAAAAUAGAAUGCAACUGAAGAAAUGGCUGGUGCAAUUCAGCAAGGUAAAAGAUUAUCUUACCCCCAGCUGGUUAAAGGCAGAAGCUAUGAAUUUGUGCUAUUGUCUGUGGGCUCCUUUCAGUUCUCAAACAGUAGCUGCCACUUCUAGCUGGGAGAGAAAUGAGAGCUCUGCUCAUGGUGAUCCAGUAUCUCCAGAAUCCAUCACCACUGCUGACCUCCCACUCCAUGUCUCCAAGUGCUCUGCUAUACCUGCCACCAGCAGCUGCCACCUCCAGACUUUGGAAGGUUAUAAUAAAACCUCUGUUCUACGAUCUGCCUUCUGCUUCAACAUCCUCACUCCCCACAAACAAUUCUAAUAAACAGCAAUUAAUCUGAAAGUGUUUUUGCAAUUUUAAUGUAUGAGAUAUGGUUUCUCUCAAAAGCUACACUGCUCUUGUGUCCUUACAAGGUAUUUUCUUAGCAAGAAUAAUCUGUUUGCAUGGGUGUUAAUGACUAAAUCCCUUUCUUGUAAAGUUAUGCCCAUCUGUCACACAAGAAGAAUAGUACCCUUUAGAGAGCGCUGAAAUGUAGGGAAAUGUAGGGAAAAUGAGCAGCUAUUCAAAAAGGUAAAAUGCUGCCACAGAGCCUGAUAAGAGCAAUUAAUUAAACAUUAAGUGUAGAAUAGGGAAUAUAUGGCAUGGGAUAAAUUAUAGUCACAAUUCAUGUUUCUUUUGUCUCCAGAAGUUCACACACAAAAACCCAUGCCUUUACAAAACAAUAAAUUCAGCA
rnacentral:lncRNA from 10 species